rnacentral:piRNA from 1 species
UGUGCUUUCAACUGAAAACAGUCAAACUUACU